rnacentral:rRNA from 1 species
UACGGGGGGGGCAAGCGUUAUUCGGAAUUAUUGGGCGUAAAGGGCGCGUAGGCGGCUUGGCAAGUGGAAGGUGAAAUCCCUCGGCUUAACCGAGGAACUGCCCUCCAAACUGCUUCGCUUGAGACCGGGAGAGGUGAGUGGAAUUCCCAGUGUAGCGGUGAAAUGCGUAGAUAUUGGGAGGAACACCAGUGGCGAAGGCGGCUCACUGGACCGGUACUGACGCUGAUGCGCGAAAGCGUGGGGAGCAAACAGG